rnacentral:hammerhead_ribozyme from 1 species
AUCCAGAUGACAAGUUUCAAAUAGGACGAAACACGAGUCUUGGAU